AUGAACACAGUAAAUGUAGGCACACUGUACAGAGUGAUAAAAGGAAAUAAGUUCAUGUUCCAAGCCUCUGACAAAUGUAAGGUCACUUAUGAGGAUGUUAUCUGCAAGGGGGGAAAAUGCAAGCUUGAACACUCAGAAUUUGAGUCCUGUGUCUCGGAGGCAGCCGCUCCUGUGAGAUCUUCCACAAAACACAGCUGCACCAGUCCUGCUGCCUUGCCAUGCCCAGCAGGAUGGGAGGGCUCAGGGAAAUCGGCUGCACCUUUACAGUGGAAAUUGCAAAACCUAUUAAAUUGUCUUCUGUCAUCAGUAAUUUUGGUUAUACUACUGAGCUCAACAUGAUUUUAAAGCAGAGAACUGGAGUCAAGCCUUACACAGCUUCCUCCUGAAACCUGGACUCCACAGCAGCCAAAACUAGUGAGUGGUGGCACGAUCACAGCUGAAUCCAAAGAGCUCCAACACACAGCACAUAUUGUAGUCAACUUUCUACAGGAUUAUGAGGAUUAUCUCCUAAAAAAAGAUCAAAAUAAGGCAGACCUUCUGAACAAAGGGAAAUCUCUAACUAGCAGUG
rnacentral:lncRNA from 1 species